AGGGCGCCACCAGGGGUGGAGCCUGCGGCUUAAUUUGACUCAACACGGGGAAACCCAUCCGGUCCGGACACCGUGAGGAUUGACAGAUUGAGAGCUCUUUCUUGAUUUGGUGGGCAGUGGUGCAUGGCCGUUCUUAGUUGGUGGAGUGAUUUGUCUGGUUUAUUCCGAUAACGAACGAGACUCUGGCCUACUAACUAGUUGCGCGAUUGAGGAGUCGUGCCAACUUCUUAGAGGGACAAGCGGUGCUCAGCCGCAUGAAAAAGAGCAAUAACAGGUCUGUGAUGCCCUUCGAUGUUCGGAGCUGCACGCGCGCUACACUGUGAGUGGCAGCAUGUUAGCUUGCCUCGCUCGCAAGAGUGGGGUAAUCGGUUGAAAAUCUCACGUGAUUGGGAUAGGGACUUGUAAUUAUUUCCCUUGAACGAGGAAUCCCUAGUAAGUGCAGGUCAUCAGCUUGCGCUGAUUACGUCCCUGCCCUUUGUACACACCGCCCGUCGCUGCCCGGAACUGAAGCAUCUCGAG
rnacentral:rRNA from 1 species